UGAGUUUAAAAUUGGUAGACCCUUCAAGCUUUUCUGGUUUCAUUAAAAACAAAACGAAAAAAUGUGAAAAUGAUGAAAAUCGGAGGAUAAGUUAUCGAACGAUACAUUUUUCCUGCUCUCUGUUUUUCCACGAGAAUUGAAUUUGAAUUGGACGAGUGCGCAGGUACUCGUCAAAGCCGCCAUCGUUGCCUACUCGCGCGCUGCUAUAUAUUCAUGGCCAUUACAUCACACAUAUCGAAGCCAUUUAACGCAUUGUCGUACGCUAACCACUUCUGCAUCUUUGCUAACCGAUAUAUUGUCGAAUGUUUCUCCUUCGUUAACGGAUACAAAAUUGACUUCGUCGAAACGGCAACGUUCUAACGAUCAGAAGAAACUUGGAUAUUCUAAAAAGACUUGCACUCGCUCGAGUACGUUAAAUAAACCGAGUGUCCGAUUGCGAUGAAACUUGCCCGAUUGGUUUCCAAUUUGAAGAAAGAUAGAAAACAUUCUCCUACUUCGUUCUCAUUUUUUUAAAUUCUUUUUUUCUAUUAUCAUUAUUUAAUAUUUUAAUACUUUCCUAAUUUCUCGAUAGAUGAGAAGUUGCAAUGUUCCUUCGCGAUAAAAAAAUGUAUGAGAAAAUCUAUUCUAAAGAAGCGACUCUCAGUACGUCUCCUGCAACCAUGACCCUCCUCAAAGAAGAAGACCUCGCCUCCGCGAAAUACGAAUUCCUCUUAAUCGAUUAAACGCCGUCUCAAAGUCGAAGCCUGCCUCUGCUCGCCUAUCUGAGAGACUGAAUCGCAUGGGCAAACGUUUCUACCACGGUUGAAUACUUAUGGGGACAACGGUAAUUGCUCUGGACGCGAGGAAAGUCGGUUUUAAGUGGUAUAGACCAGCGGAUGAUCAGCCCUCUGCGGCCGAACGAAAUGUUCGUGCGAUCAAUCACCGAUGAGGCAACGCGUCGGGUUUCUCGCGCUAGAGUCAGCCCCGAGACAACGUGGACGUCAAAUUGAAAUGAAUUACAGGCUGUGGAAAAUAACGUCACGGGCAAGGAGCAGCUCGCGUUCCUUCCGGGCAAAUACUAGUUUCGCAAUGGCCGAUCUCGACCACGGGCCGCUUCUCGCUCAUUAGUCGCGGCGUCAAACCUUACAAGGUCGGUGUGGCUAGUUUCCCAAGGAGAUGCUUAAUGAAUAUCCAUCUCCCGGCCUUCCGAAGAACUUGCACGCAUUGUCUCUCGAUGUUUGCAUUCUGUGGCUGGUUGGCAACGAUCACUUGGCAACGACAAAUCGAGAGAUUCGCGAUCGAUUCCGCGUGAGUCCCGAACCGAGGUACUAUUUAUAGGAAGCUACGGAUGAUUUUACAUGAACUCGGCGAUUCGGGAAACCACAACCCUUUCUCGUGGAAAACUUUAGCAGAUGAUCACGCAAACUAGAGCCUUCUUAAACGUAUCUUGGAAACAUGUUUGCGUUCGCAGAAAUACUCCGUGUAAUGGCCACGAUUCUGUUUAUUUUUCUCCUCGGUGGAAAUAAUAACAGACUUGAAAAAUUAAUUCGAGGAAUACCGUGAUUGUUUUUCACGCGUAAAUCGCAUAUCCAUCGAUCGUUACAUUCGACCAUUGGCAUCGUAUAUAAGUCGAGAUGACAUCACGUUAUUAGUAAUAUUAUUAUUAGACGAAAUGAUCUGGCGAAACCUAAACACGAAAUCUCUUCGCUGAUUAUGGCGAACAGGAACGAUACUCGAGAAUAUAGUGCGCCAAAGUAAUUUGAAUGAUGCUUAGGAAUGCUAUGCGGCACCCUCUACGUGAUUCGAUUCUCAAACGAUGAUCGAAUAGCGCGAUAGAGAGACUAUGGCUUUAUCGUACCUCGAAAGUAUCAAAACAAAGAAGAUGGAAAAGGUUUCCUACGUCUGUAGCGUCAGUGUCAUGGCCACCGAUUUAUGUCACGCCUAUCAUGCACGUGUGUCGGCAAUGGAAUCGUUUCACGCGUAACACGAUAAAUUGACAUCGCACCGUUAGAUGCAGAGUCGAUUCAAAGAAUCUCUGAUUAUACAUUUUAUAUAAACAUACAUGCGUUAUGUAUUAUGUAUCUUUAUCUAAACCUAACCCAACGCGUUCUUCCUAGUCGUAUCAAGAGUAAUUGAUUUAAUUAUGAGGUUGCGUAACCAUACCGUAUUCUGCUGAAUUAAUUAGAGACUAGACGCGCGGUUUAUAAAAGAAAAGAAGCACCGACUGAAUCGACAUCGCGUAAACAAUACGCUAUUUAACUCCUAAGUAAAUGCAACGCGGAAAAAGUUACGUCGUCAUAGAUUCCGAUUGUUUCUAAAGAAUUUCUGUAUGGUGAUACAAUCCACGACCAUUCCAGUGAAUGAAGCGUUUAAUUUAACGAGAUGGCUUCAUUAUUAACCACGCGACAAUUUUAAAGCACUCCUACCCGAUUAAUUAUCGACGAUUAUACAGCUAAUAUUCGU